GGCAAGGGCGGAGUUAGUUAGGUUUCCUUUUCCUGAGUGUGACGCGCCUUAGUGGGCACGCAUGCUAGCCGGGAUGGUGGGAACGGGGGGAAGAUGAACCCGGAAAUGCUGAGUCAGGGUGGCCAAGAUGGUUGCCUGUCGCCAUCUUGGGGCCUUCACCAGAGUCCAAACAAAAAGCUAAGCUAGGGCCUGGUUCUGCUCCCAGUCUAGCAUUGGAACCACUUCUAGGAACGUUUCUUGCUGAGUCAGCUUGUCAUACAGAUCCUAGUCUACAUUUUGAACCUUACUUUUGAGGUGAAAAGCUCAGCUAGGUCCUGAUUCUGGUCCCAGUCUAGCAUUGGAACCACUUCUAGGAAUGUUUCUUGCUGAGUCAGCUUGUCAUACAGAUCCUGGUCUACAUUUAGAACCUUGCUUUUGAGGUGAAAAGUGAAAGGCAAUGGAAGAGUUCCGUAGACAAAAAGGGUCGAGAGGCAGGGCAAAGAAUGCAAAAGUUCCUUUAUUAAGCUCUUGGGCGAGGUUCACUGGUCCGCCGGGAAAGGCUGGGGAAGUCGCACUGUGUUGGAGGUGCAGCAUGCUUAUAUGGACACUAGGUGAGUUAGGGGCGGAUUCGGGGUGGGGCAAGGGCGGAGCUAGUUAGGUUUUAUUUUCCUGAGUGUGACCCGCCUUAGCGGGCACGCGUUCUUGCCGGGAUGGCGGGAACGGGGGGAAGAUGAACCCGCUAAUGCUGAGUCAGGGUGGCCAAGAUGGUUGCCUGUCGCCAUCUUGGGGCCUUCACCGGAGUCCAAACAAAAAGCUAAGCUAGGGCCUGGUUCUGGUCCCUGUCUAGCAUUGGAACCACUUCUAGGAACGUUUCUUGCUGAGUCAGCUUGUUAUACAGAUCCUGGUCUACAUUUUCAACCUACUUUUGAGGUGAAAAGCUAAGCUAGGGCCUGGUUCUGGUCCUAGUCUUGCAUUGGAACCACUUCUAGGAACGUUUCUUGCUGAGUCAGCUUGUCAUACAGAUCCUGAUGUGCAGCAGCAAAUUGCUCUGGCUCCAGGGGCAGGUCUCCAGCUGAAUGUGUGCCUAGGAAUGGAAUCAAAGCCUCAUCAAAAUCUCAGUCAGUUCCUGAGGCAGAAGAGAUGGGUGUGUCUUAUCCAAGAUUUCUCUGGCUCCAGGGGCAGGUCUCCAGCUGAAUCUGUGCCUACAAAUGGAAUCAAAGUCUCAUCAAAGUCUCAGUUCCCGAGGCAGAAGAGAUGGGUGUGUCUUAUCCAAGAUUUCUCUGGCUCCAGGGGCAGGUCUCCAGCUGAAUCUGUGCCUACAAAUGGAAUCAAAGUCUCAUCAAAGUCUCAGUUCCUGAGGCAGAAGAGAUGGGUGUGUCUUAUCCAAGAUUUCUCUGGCUCCAGGGGCAAGUCUCCAGCUGAAUCUGUGCCUACAAUGCAAACAAAGUCUCAUCAAAGUCUCAGUUCCUGAGGCAGAAGAGAUGGGUGUGUCUUAUCCAAGAUUUCUCUGGCUCCAGGGGCAGGUCUCCAGCAGAAUCUGUGCCUACAAAUGGAAUCAAAGUCUCAUCAAAGUCUCAGUCAGUUCCUGAGGCAGAAGAGGUGGGUGUGUCUUAUCCAAGAUUUCUCUUAUGGAACAAAGUUACAUCAAAGCCAAUUUAAAAGCCUAUGUAAAAAAAAUUAUUAUUAUUGAUGCAAUGUAUACAAAUAUAUAGACCAAUAUAAUAAGUUAACUAUUCCUACCAUGAUUUGUCUUUAGUAAAAUGGGAAACUGGAGAAAAACUUAUGUUUCCAAAUGAUUAUAUAUCUGUGUUAGAUUCUAGUCUUGCCUAAUUUUUUUUCAAUUUGGAUUACUUUCUACAGUUUGGACCAAAUUCUAAUUUUUUUUAUUACAAGUCUCCAAAAUAAUUUUUAAAUUUUUUUCCUUCUUUUUUCCAUUUUUCCUAAUUUGGAGUCACCGAAAACUAAGCUGUGCUUUCUUAAAAUCCUGUGAACUGAAGCCAGACAACUUAAACUUCAGAAGAAAAUAACAGCAACCUAUUUACAUACAUAAACCACUUUCAUACCUGCCUACUGAUGCAUAGACUUCAGAGUAAUGUGGCCUAUAUCAAAUGUUUCCCGGAUUGUUCUUUUGUUUGUUGUUGUUUUCUCUCUCUUCCUCCCACUAUUUUCUCUUCACAGGACAUGAGACUUAACAACCUGCUAAAAAUGAGCUUUUGGGACCUACCCAUCAAGGAAUAAACUGUCCUCGCCAUGAGAGAUCAAAUGAAACCUGAGACCAGAGACUUAUUUUCUUGUAAAAUGCUUUCUCCAACAGGUUUUUAAAAAGAAAAGGGUGGAAAUGUGAAAGGAAAAUAUCUGUGGUCCCCAAAAUCACGAAGGAAAAGUCAAGCCGGGAACUGCUUAGGGCAAACCUGCCUCCCAUUCUAUUCAAAGUCACUCCUCUGCCCAAUCAGAUAGAUGCUUAUCUGAUUUGCCUCCUUUGGAAAGGCUGAUCAGAAACUCAAAAGAAUGGAACCAUUUGUGUAUCAGCCAUCUGUGACCUGGAAGCUUCCUCCCCACUUCAGUCUUCCUGCCUUUGCUUCAAGUUGUCCUGUCUUUCCAGAUGAAGCAAUGUACUUCUUAACAUAUAUUGACUGAUGUCUCAUGAUGUCUCCCUAAAUGUAUGAAACCAAGCUGUGCCUGACAACCUUGGGCAUAUUUUGUCAAGACUUCCCUGAGGCUGUCAUUGGUGCAUCCUCAACCUUGGCAAAAUAAACUUUCUAAAUUAA
rnacentral:lncRNA from 1 species